rnacentral:rRNA from 1 species
AUUGAACGCUGGCGGCAGGCCUAACACAUGCAAGUCGAACGAGCGGCGGACGGGUGAGUAAUGUCUGGGAAACUGCCUGAUGGAGGGGGAUAACUACUGGAAACGGUAGCUAAUACCGCAUACCAUCAGAUGUGCCCAGAUGGGAUUAGCUGGUAGGUGGGGUAAUGGCUCACCAAGGCGACGAUCCCUUGCUGGUCUGAGAGGAUGGCCAGCCACACUUGAUCUGAGACACGGUCCAUACUCCUACGGGAGGCAGCAGUGGGGAAUAUUGCACAAUGGGCGCAAGCCUGAUGCAGCCAUGCGGCGUGUAUGAAGAAGGCCUUCGGGUUGUAAAGUACUUUCAGCGGGGAGGCGUUACCCGAAGAAGAAGCACCGGCUAACUCCGUGCCAGCAGCCGCGGUAAUUC